rnacentral:rRNA from 1 species
CAGGAUUAACGCUGGCGGCGUGCAUAACACAUUCAAGUCGAACGGAGUAUUGCUUUCGGGUGAUACUCAGUGGCGGACGGGUGAGUAACGCGUGAGCAAUCUGCCCCUUAUUGCGGGAUAACAGAGAGAAAUUUCUGCUAAUACGGCAUAACGCAUCGGUAUCGCAUGGUGCGGGUGCCAAAGAUUUAUCGAUGAGGGAUGAGCUCGCGUCCGAUUAGAUAGUUGGUGACGGUAACGGCGCACCAAGUCUGCGAUCGGUAGCCGGACUGAGAGGUUGAACGGCCACAUUGGGACUGAGACACGGCCCAGACUCCUACGGGAGGCAGCAGUGGGGAAUAUUGGACAAUGGGGGAAACCCUGAUCCCAGCGACGCCGCGUGAAGGAAGAAGGCCUUCGGGUUGUAAACUUCAGUCAGCAGGGAAGAACAAAUGACGGUACCUGCAGGGGAAGCCACGGCUAACUACGUGCCAGCAGCGGC